rnacentral:rRNA from 1 species
UACGUAGGGGGCAAGCGUUGUCCGGAUUUAUUGGGCGUAAAGAGCUCGUAGGCGGUUCCGUAAGUCGAGUGUGAAAAAUCUGGGCUCAACCCAGUGGAGCACUCGAUACUGCGGUGACUAGAGUACGGUAGAGGAGUGUGGAAUUCCUGGUGUAGCGGUGAAAUGCGCAGAUAUCAGGAGGAACACCAACGGCGAAGGCAGCACUCUAGGCCGGUACUGACGCUGAGGAGCGAAAGCGUGGGGAGCAAACAGG